rnacentral:rRNA from 1 species
UACGUAGGGUGCAAGCGUUGUCCGGAAUUAUUGGGCGUAAAGAGCUCGUAGGCGGUUUGUCGCGUCUGCUGUGAAAACGCGAGGCUCAACCUCGCGCCUGCAGUGGGUACGGGCAGACUAGAGUGCGGUAGGGGAGAUUGGAAUUCCUGGUGUAGCGGUGGAAUGCGCAGAUAUCAGGAGGAACACCGAUGGCGAAGGCGGUUCUCUGGGCAUUACCUGACGCUGAGGAGCGAAAGUGUGGGGAGCGAACAGG